rnacentral:sRNA from 1 species
AUCUAUUAAAAAACGGAGGUAGUAUUUAUUUUUAUUCUUAGAGGUAAUAGUAUGCACACAAACUGAGCAGGUAUUCUUUUCAGGCUCUUUUGAAGAGGUUAGGUGUUUUUAUGUGAUCUCUGCAAAUUAUUGAUUCUAUAAUGAGGUUGCGUAAAUAUGAAGUAUGAUAUUAUCUAGAUUCCAAUUACAUUGUGGGACAUAGUAAUUCUCAUUGCUAUUGUAGGCCAUAGUGUAUUGAUUCCUGUGCAUCGCUUCUUUCUGGAGUUCAGUUACCACGUUGGUGCUUCAUAUGCAACAGCAUGGACCAAUUUACUAUGCCAUGUCCUAAGAAGGUUUGUGCAUGACAAGAAGGUAUCUAAGAUAACACUCUUUCGUUAAUGCCAACUGUUAAACAUAGAAAUCAAAGUAAUUUAUUUUGCUACCAUUUCCUUUAGGUGGCACUCACAUAUUGUUCAAUUGUACUGGGGACAUUAGGCUUUAUUACUGUUAUUGGGAUCAAUCAGAUAUGCGUUUUCUGCUGGUUUUGCUCAUGGCUAUGUACACAAGAAAUUUUAGAUUAUAAAAUAAAUAUGAUGGACCAAUGUUUCCAGCUACUACUUCCGGUGUACAUCCUUUUUUAUUAUGUGUCACUUCAGAUUUGGUCUUUGUUCAAACCUGCCUAUAAUAUCAACAAGAACUAAAACUGAAAGAUUUCAACAAGAAUCAUGUACUUGCAAAACCAUUGUUCAAAAUCCAAGAUUUCAUCCCUGAAGUGUUCGUUUAAAAGUUAAGGCAAUUUUCUGUUCCGGAUUAGCCUUUCGGCCUGCAUCAAUGGUUUUAAACAAUCUGGUUGGAUUCAGUUGCCCUAUGAGUUACUUUUGUAGUACUGAUGAAUCUGAAAAUUUACCCUGAGUUCUAUUGGGUUCUAAGUUAAUCCAUGGUGUAUUCAUUCAAAGUUGGCAUCCCAUACCACAUACCGCUGAGAUAAUAUAUUGCUAGUUUGGUGGAACUAUUUCACUGAUUAUCAUAUGUUAUCACAUAUUGGUUGCAUAUUUGUGCAAAUGGCUGAAACAAUUCUAUUUUUAUUUAAUCGCUUUGCCUUUCAAGCUAUAUUAUUGUUUCAGACUUUGUGAUGAACUUUCUUGCAAGAUAUCUAAAGCUUAUCUCAAAGUUGAUAAGUUAUGUACUAAUUUCAGUAUUAUGUUUGCUUUUGUCAGGGCUAGAGAAUAUAUGCAUUAGUGUACUUGAAACAAAACAGGGUAGAGUGGCCCAAUGGCACUAUUUGUCUUUCCAAAUCGCCACUAUGUCAGUACAGAUAAACGAAUAGAGGUAUGAUCAUUUGUAUAUGGUUUAGAUUUUUCAACAAUAUUGUAUCAAAGUAUUGUUUUCCUCAUAUCUUGGACUGUAGUAUGUCCUUGCAGGAUGUAAAUGUUAACUCAAGUUACAUUUCAUGAACAUAUUUGGAUCU